CUGAGCACUCCUACGGGAGGCAGCAGUGGGGAAUAGUUGCACAAUUGGGCGCAAGCCUGAUGCAGCCAUGCCGCGUGUAUGAAGUAAGGCCUUCGGGUUGUAAAGUACUUUCAGCAGUGAGGAAGGUGGAUAUGUUAAUAGCAUAUUCAUUUGACGUUAGCUGCAGAAGAAGCACCGGCUAACUCCGUGCCAGCAGCCGCGGUAAUACGGAGGGUGCGAGCGUUAAUCGGAAUUACUGGGCGUAAAGCGCAUGCAGGUGGUUUGUUAAGUCAGAUGUGAAAGCCCGGGGCUCAACCUCGGAAUUGCAUUUGAAACUGGCAAACUAGAGUACUGUAGAGGGGGUAGGAAUUUCAGGUGUAGCGGUGAAAUGCGUAGAGAUCUGAAGGAAUACCGGUGGCGAAGGCGGCCCCUGGACAGAUACUGACACUCAGAUGCGAAAGCGUGGGGAGCAAACAGGAUUAGAUAACCUGGUAG
rnacentral:rRNA from 1 species